AUCGGGAGGCCGGAACAGGGGAGGGAAGGAGCUUCAGUGGCUGAAGAAAUGGUUAGGGGUGACCAAACCUUUCUGUGAGUGAACAAUAUGGUCAGGACGAGAGGAACCAUUUCACGGGGGUUUAGGUUACCCUAAGAACAUGUAUACACAAGCGAGCAGAUGUCUAUCCUUGGAAGAUGAAAUAUAACAAACCACGAUCAAGAACGGAGUUGGAUUUGCCACCUCGUUGUUUGUCAGAGAGAAAAUUAUCUCAGACAACCACAAGAAUCUUCACACUUUUCAUUCAUAUGCUGGGCAGCGUAUCACAAUCUUCUUGGGAGGUGCAUUGACAAACGUGUACGUAAGGCAAAGAUGACAUUAUUAGCUAGAAAACAGCUGAUGUUCAGGGAACGGGAAUGGAUCUCAGGAAGGAAUUCUAAGAAAAGUAAUGAACAACAAGAGAUAGAAUGACAAUUUACUUUAGUUUAUAAUGUGACCAACGGACUGCAGAAUAAUAAAUAUCCUGCUAAAAGAACAAGAACUAUCUGAUCGCAAUGAAACACAAUGGACCAAAGGCACUCCUUUUACCAGAAUUGAAACUAAAGAGAAAGGUAUCCACCAAGUUGAAUGAACAGAAAGUCAAAUACAGCAAAGAGGGACCGGAAGCAUUCAGAAGGAAAACAUGAACUAUGAAAAUUGAUAUAAGCCUAACAUAACCAGUAUUAGGAAAGCAUACCACAAAUUAUCUAAUACAAAGAGGGAAUCAGCAUUAAUUAAGAUUCAUUGAAGGAUGGACAGAGCAACUUCAGGUAAUGACAGUGAAAUGGGAAAAAUAACUGAUAUAUAUAUAGUACCUACUUUUUAGCAAUUGAUAUGACAUUAUACCAUUGCAAACAUUUCAUAUUUCAACCUCCCUUGUGGAUGCUUCAAAGCCUCUCAGCCCAGGUUUCCCUCUCUAUCCCUCUUAGUCAUAUUCUUCUAUAUGUUUCGGCUUCAUUUGCUACUUGAUUGCUGCCACUCUCCCUCUGUCUGCGCCAACGCUCUAAUUUACGACUGCUCCUGUAUUAUUUCGGUGCCAAUGCAAAAACCACUUGUUAUCUUUUUUUUUGAUUGGCCGCUCGGUCAAACCAUCAUUUAUUCCUCCAUGUAACACUCGCUGCUUCAGUGCUGAUCCUCCAACAAUGCAGAACCCCCUGAGUGCUGACCCUUGGACAGUGUGGCACUCCAUCAGUAUUGACCUCCUGCAGUGCCCUGGUCCCUGACUUUGGGCCCUCCAACAGUGCAGUGCUCGCUAGCUAUUGACCCUCUGACAGUGCGGCUCUCCCUCAGUACUAAACAUCCGGCAGUGCUGUGCUGCCUCUUUACUGACCAGCCAACAGUGUGGCGCAUCCUCAGCUUUGACGAUGUGUCAUACCAGCACUCCUUCAGUACUGACACUCCGACAUUGCAGCACUGCCCCAGUACUGGCACUACAACACAGUGGAACUCCAUCAGUGUUGACCAUCCGACGGUGCAGCACUCCCUCAGUACUGAGCCUCCGACAAUGCAACACCUCGUCAGCAUCCACCAAGUGACAGUGCAGCGCUCCCUCAAUACUGUCCAGUGAUGACCACAGAAAGCCAUUUUAAAACCCCAUGGAGUUUUAUUAAUUGCAUUUCUCCUGCAUUUGCACCUUGACCUCAAUCUCACCAAUUAAUGAAUUGCAUUCGCUAUUUAUUUGAACACUGCGUUGCUCUCUCGCUCUCUAAUUUAUUAUUGGUAUUCCCAAUCUAUUUGCACACUGGGUUGCUCUCGCGCACUCUCUCUCUCUCUGUAAUUAGUUAUUUGCAUCUGUACUAUAC